rnacentral:lncRNA from 1 species
GCGGAGAUCAUGGCAAACUGCCAAACUCCCGCCGGCUGAGCCCCUUGGUCAAUUUAGUCAACUCUUGGCCCAGUCAAACGAAUUCCAAGAGGAGAGAAAGAGAAAUCUAGGUCUUGCUCGCCCACCGCUUCGUGAAAUUUUGAUCUGGGCACUCCAACAAGAGGCGAAGAACACCACAUUGAGGUACUCGCGCGUGAAUUCUUAGCUUGGAUUGUUCUGGCUUGAAUACAUUUCUUCCCACAUGAUCUCUACAAAACUUUGUUUUCCAGGUAGAUUCUCGUAGAAAGUACGCGCUUCGAAAGAAAUGCGCACGAAUUCUCUACGCUAAGAAACGCUGUCUACUUUUCUCCAUAAGUAUCUCGUCGUCUCCAUUUCUUUCCCAAUUUCCACUCGAGGUACGCUAUCCUUUGGUCAAAAGCUUCUUUUUUUUCCUUCUUCCUCUUUUGUUCGUGCGUAAGCACUACGUAAGUGUGAUCGAGAGAUCUCUCGCAUGGUUUGGCAGUGAAUUCGUGUGCUUGUGUGUGUGUUGCUACCAUUGACGGUGGCUGUCGCUGUGGCCCCUCCUUCCACUUUGUCCUUUCUUCCACUCAGUGGAGAACAUCUCAUUCGUUUUCUGGCGAGAGCUAAAGUUGUGGAGCGAUAGCCUGUGCGUGUGUGUGUGUGUGUACUUUUGUUCCUCUUCCUAAGGCUGCGCCCCCUUUGUUUCUCAUUGUUUUUGCUCGUCCCCCUUUUCAACAGGCUCCGGGUUUCCAUCGUCGCUGCGCAGAAAAUGGCUUCUUUUCGCAAGAUAGUGCUUGCAUCACUACUAUCAUGCUUGCUCCUCGCCGCUGUUGCCACUGAAACCGAAGGUAGAGCGAGCCUUUCUCUCUUUUGUUUUCUCCUUUUUUACUCUAGAACCGAUUGUGUUCCUGAUUCUUCCGUGGAAUUCUAGCAGAUGAGAGCUUGGUGGCAGCACAGGACCAGGUAAAAACUCUUGUUUUCUCGUUUUUUCGUACUGUUCUUUAGCCGCGUGAUAGGAUCUCUUUUAACUUUCAUUCGUUCGUAUUGCAUAAUCUCACCCCCACUGUGUCUUCGCCUUUCGAGACUAGUAGAUGAGGUAAAAAGCUCUUUUUCUUUUUGCUGCGUUUCGCCACUGUUCUUCGCGUAAUCUCCAGUUAUUAAAGCUCUUCGUUUUCGCCAAAGAACUUAUACUUCCUAUUCUUCAGGCUCUUAACUUCGACCGUGGAUUCGCCAUGGAACAGAUGCUAUCACGGAUCCAGAGCAAAAAGCUUCGUCGCGAGAGAAACUUGGUCCACACAAACGACUACGCCGAUCCAUCGCCAAACACCGAUCCAAAGCGCGGCCCGCCGAAAUCAGGAUAAGUAUAGAACUCGUUGGAAGCGCGUGUAAAUUUACUCUACGCGGAUAUCAAGUCCAUGGUUGUUUUAUACAUGGCUGACUCUUUGGCUUCCUCAAAGGAAGCAUAGUGUGUUUUGCUGGCCAGCAUCAACAAUGAAUCUAUAAUAUACAAAUGGUUUGUGGCUUAUAAUGCUGGUAGAAUAGUGUUCUAUCAAUUUAUAAGCAGCAGCUUGCAGAGAGGCCAGCCACAAUAUAUGACCACUUUGAUGGUGUGA